CUAAUAACAGAUUACACCACAGAUAACAAAACUCUGAUUGACCACUUAUACACCAACGUAAAGAAAGAUGAGCUUCAAACAGGUACUCUCGAAACUUACUUCAGUGACCAUAAGGAAAUCUGGGCUUAAAUUAAGAUUGCUAGCAGCGUAUUUUACAAUUAACCCCAUCAAACGAAUCCUAGAACAUCAAACAGCUCAGUCUUCAAAAUGCUUGGGUCUGCUCUCAAUAAGCAAUGUUGUCGAUGUGUGAUUGUGACGGUUAACCUCAGCGAGGAAUAUAUUUUGUAACUAACUAUAAAGAUGUUUGUGAAAACUUACUUGUUCAUUUUGAUGCCUUUAAAGUUUGACGUUGGGUACGAUAAAUAUAUGUAUAACACCAUUUAAA